AGCAAGACAAGUGACCAUCUUCCAGUUCCAGAAAGCAGCAAGCACUCAUUCACCGCCCAGACCUCGUGACAGGAAGACCUCCCCUCACCUCAUCUUUUCCUCUCACUUACUCACCCCCUCAGUCGCUCACUCGCGAACUUCAAGCACACCUUCACUCAGGCAUGGCUCGUCCCGUUGGCCCCGCCCUCCUCUACUGCCUCCUGCUGCUCGGGCCGACUUAUCACGUCCUCCUCCUCCUCCUGCUCUCCGCGUUCGCCCACACGUCUCACGCCUCCUUCACACAUCUGCCGCCGCUCGCCGCUCAGCAGGCCGCGGAAACUGGUGUGCAAUCCUUUAACUCCACACUGAUGGCAAGG